AUGGGGAAGAGGCUGGUCAGAGAUCCCAUUGCUUUCUGUUCCUCCACGAUGGCCUGGGUCUUCCUGCUCAUCGCAACCCUGGCUUCCAUCGGUCCCAGUGCCCAGCAGCUCCACCCCCUGAAGCCCUCAGAGGUUGUGUCUGCAGGAGAUACGGUCACCUUUUCCUGUAGAUUCAGUGGUGGAACCAUCACUGAUGGCAACUACCCUCUCUGGGUCCAGCAGAAACUAGGGAAUUCUCCACGGCUGUUGAUUGACCAGACCAGCAGAAGAGCACCAGGCACCACAGCCCGUUUCUCUGGGUCUAAAUCAGGGAACACCAUGUCCCUGACCAUCACAGGAGCCAUGGCAGAAGAUGAGGCUGAUUAUUACUGCACCAUUAAUAUCCCUGGCCAGUAUGUCACAGUGGUUCAUGCACAUGGGGAAGCAAGACAAAAACUCUCCUACACUGCCUUCAUUAGCCUAAGUUUCUCUUGCAGUGAAUGA